GUUUUCGUGGUGUAGUGGUUAUCACGGAAGGUCCCCGGUUCGAUCCCGGGCGAAAACA
rnacentral:tRNA from 1 species